GGAGAGAUGGCCGAGUGGUCGAAGGCGCAGCAUUGGAAAUGCUGUGAUGUUCACGCAUCCGAGAGUUCGAAUCUCUUCCUCUCCUCCA
rnacentral:tRNA from 1 species